AAAGGGAAGGCAUCUGACCUGGUUACACGCUCGUACUUCAUUGCCCUGUAUGUUGGGCUUUAUUUGAACCGUUGUGCAAUAUCGAGUGAACGGUAACGAUCCACUUUCCUCAGGAGCUAAUCGUACGUCUGAACGACACAACUUCGGAGCGUGACACACUGACACCAGCUAGUCAAGACAACGGGGUUUUAUGUGUUACGAUAUUUAUAAUAGACGUCCUUUAUCAACAGGAUCGUCCUUUAUCCCCCAGCAUCCUAAUUCCUUACCAUUCCACAAAUUAAUAUUUAUUUUAAAAUUUUUUAAACAGAUUUGAGAUUUCAAAACAUUUAAAGCACUAAAAGCAGGUCGAUCCUAGAAGGAACUCCAAACAUGGAAGUUGAAGUGAUGUAUUAAAAACAAAUUGAAUAAAAAUGAGAUUAUUUCGCAUCUAAGUAAUUUCCCUUCUUACGAUUUAAUUUACGAACAGUGAAAUUAAUUUCUGUUUAUUGAAAAGUAUUUAUUUCAUUCGCGAAUCAUUUAUUGACAGUAGAAACUGCUUAGCCCUUUUUGCAAAAUUGAUAGCAUCGUCUGCUUUCCAUUGAGUCAACAUUUUCAAGUCUGGUGCGUGCUCAUGUGGUUGACUGCUUCCCUCUUUCAAGACGUGAUCGGACAUUUUGUCAUGUCUUAUGUGUUCAAAAUUUUCAUUUCGUUACUGCAAAAAUCUGUGGCCAUUUACUUUCAAACGAAUAACGAGCUGAGCUGACUUCGUGACGAAUAUGAAAUUUACAAACAGGGUGUUGCUUUCUUUAGAAGUAGCCCUUGUAUCUUUCACAACCACGUGGUUCGUGCGAAAAAGAAGAAACUUCUCUGCGAAUGAAGUCUCAGCCCAGUCAUCACUGUAUACUCCAAGACCUGGCCUCUUUGAUCCAUUUGCAUCACAUGUGUGUGCGCGAGGCUGGGCACCGGAGCAGAAAGAUGGCAGCAAUGGAACAUUUACUCCCCACCCCACCUUAUGGAAUUGCCCGUCUCCUGACGUCCAGUGAAUAUUCCUAGUGCGGUAAUAAGAUUACACGGAAAUCCGUCGCCACAAACACCCCGAAAAUAGCACCACGGGACGACUCCCGCCGAGAAAAGAGUUAUGUCACUGCUGGACCUUGGCAACAACAACAACAUCAGCAGCGACAACAUCACCCGAGAAAGAAGCAAUACGACGAGAACGACGCAUUAAAGAUUGAAUUAGCCGCCGUUAUUUAUUGGGCGACUACCACUUGUUUUCCCGUUUUCGCGGCAACGUUGCUUUUUUCGUCUGCAGUGCGUCAGCUUAUGUGGCCGAUUCCGAUAGGCCGAUAGUUCUGACAGACUGACACUAACAAUCUGACAGCACCUUCCGAGAGAGCAUUUGUUAAGUACACUGAAUUGAUUCAAAAAGGAAAAUGAUUACAGAUAUCCAGUUGGCUAUCUUUUCCAAUGUUUUGGGAGUUUCACUCUUCCUGAUGGUCAUUCUCUACCAUUACAUUUCAGCCAACAACCCUAAAGCUGCAUCUUCAUAAGUGAAUUCCACUGGUUGGUAUCAAUAUCUUAUGAUGAUUGUACAAUGAUCCAGUACGGAAAUACAUCCUAUUGACUAUUGUA